CCUACGGGAGGCAGCAGUGAGGAAUAUUGGUCAAUGGACGAGAGUCUGAACCAGCCAAGUAGCGUGAAGGAUGACUGCCCUAUGGGUUGUAAACUUCUUUUAUAUAGGGAUAAUACGAUUCACGUGUACCUUUAUGCAUGUACUUUAUGAAUAAGGAUCGGCUAACUCCGUGCCAGCAGCCGCGUUAAUACGGAGGUUACGAGCGUUCUCCGGAUUUAUUGGGUUUAAAGGGUGCGUAGACGGGUUGUUAAGUCAGUUGUGAAAGUUUGCGGCUCAACCUUAAAAUUGCAAUUGAUACUGGAAGGCUAGAGUACAGAUGAGGUAGGCGGAAUUAGUGGUGUAGCGGUGAAAUGCUUAGAUAUAACGAAGAACACCGAUUGCGAAGGCAGCUUACUAGACUGUGACUGACACUGAUGCACGAAAGUGUGGGUAGCAAACAGGAUUAGAUACCCUAGUAGUC
rnacentral:rRNA from 1 species